GACGGAGGAUGCAAGCGUUAUCCGGAAUCACUGGGCGGAAAGCGUCUGUAGGUUGUCAAAUAAGUCAACUGUUAAAUCUUGAGGCUCAACCUCAAAAUCGCAGUCGAAACUAUUAGACUAGAGUAUAGUAGGGGUAAAGGGAAUUUCCAGUGGAGCGGUGAAAUGCGUAGAGAUUGGAAGGAACACCGAUGGCGAAGGCUCUUUACUUGGCUAUUACUUACACUCAGAGACCAAAGCUAGGGUAGCAAAUGUG
rnacentral:rRNA from 1 species